AGCCUUCUGUAUCUGUGUUGAGAUUUCGUCACACACCAGACCAUAAGGGUUAAUGAGGCUCUCAAGAUAAGUGAAGCG
rnacentral:pre_miRNA from 1 species